GAGUACCGUCCGGUUCCGCCCCGGGCAGGACUGAAGGCGAUGGCCUCCGGAGGGCCUGUGCAAAUGUAUACUUUGAGGUCUGGCGGGUACCCCAACCUCCGGUUUUAGGAUCGCCCUUCCUGUAGGUGACACUUGGUUUCAUGCGUGCUCUCUCCAGCUGCAGGAGCUGGAACUGGGAGCAGCUGCCGCAGGCAUCCCUGUCCAACUCCUAUUAACUGUCUCUCAGGGCAUCAGACAUCCGGUUGCCACGUUGUGCCCCUAACACACUUGUUCUCAACGCCAGUAGAAGUUGCUCCCUCAAAGAGUCUCGCAAGGACUUUGUAAGAAAUCGACAUCUCCUGCCUUCCCUAUCUUCUUUGGAUCGGUGAUUCAGAUAUUUGAGCUCACAUUUCCUAAACCGCCAUUGCUAAGAUUCCAAAUAUAGUCCAUCGACAUUUU